UGGGGAAUAUUGCGCAAUGGCCGAAAGGCUGACGCAGCGACGCCGCGUGGGGGAUGAAGCAUUUCGGUGUGUAAACCCCUGUUGCUCGGGACGAACAACUGGAUUCUUCCAGUCUGACGGUACCGGGUGAGGAAGCACCGGCUAACUCCGUGCCAGCAGCCGCGGUAAUACGGAGGGUGCGAGCGUUGUCCGGAAUCACUGGGCGUAAAGGGCGCGUAGGCGGUCUGCUAAGCGUGUGGUGAAAGCUCGGGGCUCAACCCCGAGUCUGCCAUGCGAACUGGUGGACUGGAGCACUGUAGAGGCAGGUGGAAUUCCGGGUGUAGCGGUGGAAUGCGUAGAGAUCCGGAAGAACACCAGUGGCGAAGGCGGCCUGCUGGGCAGUUGCUGACGCUGAGGCGCGAUAGCGUGGGGAGCAAACAGG
rnacentral:rRNA from 1 species